rnacentral:lncRNA from 1 species
AUUUUAAGAUUCCAUGGGUGGAUUCUGGAGAACCUCAAGAGCUCUAAAGGGCAGACAUGGCAGCUGGUGUGUCCACAUUGAAUCAAUCUUCUGCUGCUGAUUUCCACUAUUAAUUUGGAUCUUCUGAUUGGCUUAUUGAGAAUGGGUGGUCAAAUCUGGCUUGGGACAUGGGCUGCAACCCCCAGCUUUGAUACUAAUAAGACUGUACAUGAAGAGAGACAGAAUGUGGCUUAGCAGACUCACAGGACACUGAUCAAUUUAAAGUUUAAUAUUAAACAUCAUCAUUAUUUAGACUAGAAUACUACAUCAAUAACCCCAUGUUAUUUCUGGAGUCAUACAAUCUCAACUUGCCACCUGUGGUGAUUUGAAUAUGCUUGGCCCAUGGGAAGCAGCACUAUGAGGAAAUAUGGCCUUGUUGGCAUAAGUGUGGCCUAGUUGGAGGAAGUUCAACACCGUAGGGAUGGGCUUUGAGGUCCUAUGCUCAAGUUCUGCCCAGUGCAGAAGAGAAAACCUCCUCUUGGCUGCCAGCAGAAGUCAGUCUUCUCCUGGCCAUCUUCAGAUUAAGAUGUAGAACUCUCCACUGCUUCUCCAGCACCAUAUCUCCCUGCAUGGUGCCACACUUCCUGCUACAACAAUAAUGGACGAGAUUGCCUUCUAAGAAUACACCAAGAAGAUCUACUCUAGUCUUGGGAUCUUGGAACCACUUCAGAAAAAAAUGAGAUUAAGGAGGAGUUGGGAUGAUGUCAGCUAACGGUUCUGGGAGCAGCAAAUACACCCUCUUGGGAACAUGGUACAUCUGUAUCGCUGGGUGUCUGGGUGAGGCAGGAGGGGCUCAUGAGAAGCGGGGUUCUCCAAGCUCUGGGAAAACCCUUGGAGCCUUUAUAAACAUUAUGUCCUUUUCACCCUGGGAGGCCAAGGGGAGCCUCUGAAGGAUUUUUAGGAGAUAAGAGUGGCAAAAUUUCCUAUGUAAAUGGAAAAGGUCACUCUGGCUGUUCUGUGGGGAAAGGAUCUAGAUAGCUUGGAAAGAAAAGUGGAGUGCUGAUUUGAUUGAUGGGGAGGCUGUAGGGAAGCUCUGGUGGGAGGUGGCUGUGGCUAGGAUGGCAGCGAUUCAUAUAGAUGUGAGGAGCCUAGCCACAUGUUCUCACCACUGUGAAGACACAGGCCUUUUCCUGCAUGACGCACUGUAUCUCCUUAAACUGUAACCCAUAAUAAAUCCUACCUCC